ensembl:snRNA U6 U6 spliceosomal RNA
GUGAUCACUUCAGUAAAACACACACUAAAAUUGAAACAAUGGAAAGAAGAUUAGCAUGGCUCCUGCAAAAGGAUGACACACAAAUUCAUGAGCUGUUCGCUAUUUUC